GACAGCAAACCUAAAAGGGACUUAUGUUCUAAUGGAAGAAUACAAAACAUAAAAGUAAGCUGAAAAGUAUGGGGGACUUGAAGGAGAAAAUCAAGUCAAGAAUGGAGGCUCACCUGGGUAUUUUCUUUAAAAUGGGGAUUCUGGGAAGAACCAACUAAACAGAGGAAGAGACUACAAGAUUCUUGCUGCCUUGGGCUUCUAGUUGUUGGAUUCUAAUUUUUAAAGACUCAAUUUCAUCCCUGGUUUUUUGGUCAUCCUUCUCCAUUUGUUCUUAUUUUCCUUGUAAGUCAUCUUUCAUCUUCUUUGCCUCAUUUUCAAGCUGGUUAAUUUUGACUUUCAAGCCACUGUUUUCUUGUUUUAGUUCAU
rnacentral:lncRNA from 1 species